rnacentral:miRNA from 10 species
CAGCUAACAUGCAGUUGCUAUC